GACAGAGGCCCCGAGCGUUAGUCGGAAUUACUGGGCUUAAAGGGUGCGUAGGCGGAUUUCUAAGUGUCGUGUGAAAUCCCAUGGCUUAACCAUGGAACCGCAAGGCAAACUGGGAGUCUCGAGGAAGGUAGAGGCGGGUAGAACGAAUGGUGGAGCGGUGGAAUGCGUAGAUAUCAUUCGGAAUGCCGAAGGUGAAGACAGCCCGCUGGGCCUUUCCUGACGCUGAGGCACGAAAGCGUGGGUAGCAAACAGGG
rnacentral:rRNA from 1 species